rnacentral:rRNA from 1 species
GAUGAACGCUGGCGGCGUGCCUAAUACAUGCAAGUCGAGCGAACGGAUAAGGAGCUUGCUCCUUUGACGUUAGCGGCGGACGGGUGAGUAACACGUGGGUAACCUACCUAUAAGACUGGGAUACUUCGGGAAACCGGAGCCAAUACCGGAUAAUAUUUCGAACCGCAUGGUUCGAUAGUGGAAGAUGGUUUUGCUAUCACUUAUAGAUGGACCCGCGCCGUAUUAGCUAGUUGGUAAGGUAACGGCUUACCAAGGCGACGAUACGUAGCCGACCUGAGAGGGUGAUCGGCCACACUGGAACUGAGACACGGUCCAGACUCCUACGGGAGGCAGCAGUAGGGAAUCUUCCGCAAUGGGCGAAAGCCUGACGGAGCAACGCCGCGUGAGUGAUGAAGGUCUUCGGACCGUAAAACUCUGUUAUUAGGGAAGAACAUACGUGUAAGUAACUGUGCACGUCUUGACGGUACCUAAUCAGAAAGCCACGGCUAACUACGUG